GACGAACGCUGGCGGCACGCUUAACACAUGCAAGUCGAACGAGAGAAGAGGAGCUUGCUUUUCUGAUCUAGUGGCGGACGGGUGAGUAACACGUGAGCAAUCUGCCUUUCAGAGGGGGAUACCGAUUGGAAACGAUCGUUAAUACCGCAUAACAUAAUUGAACCGCAUGAUUUGAUUAUCAAAGAUUUAUCGCUGAAAGAUGAGCUCGCGUCUGAUUAGCUAGUUGGUAAGGUAACGGCUUACCAAGGCGACGAUCAGUAGCCGGACUGAGAGGUUGAUCGGCCACAUUGGGACUGAGACACGGCCCAGACUCCUACGGGAGGCAGCAGUGGGGAAUAUUGCACAAUGGAGGAAACUCUGAUGCAGCGAUGCCGCGUGAGGGAAGAAGGUUUUAGGAUUGUAAACCUCUGUCUUCAGGGACGAAAAAUGACGGUACCUGANGAGGAAGCUCCGGCUAACUACGUGCCAGCAGCCCGCGUAAUACGUANGGAGCGAGCGUUGUCCCGGAUUACUGGGUGUAAAGGGAGCGUAGGCGGGAUCGCAAGUCAGAUGUGAAAACUAUGGGCUUAACCCAUAAACUGCAUUUGAAACUGUGGUUCUUGAGUGAAGUAGAGGUAAGCGGAAUUCCUAGUGUAGCGGUGAAAUGCGUAGAUAUUAGGAGGAACAUCAGUGGCGAAGGCGGCUUACUGGGCUUUAACUGACGCUGAGGCUCGAAAGCGUGGGGAGCAAACAGGAUUAGAUACCCUGGUAGUCCACGCCGUAAACGAUGAUUACUAGGUGUGGGGGGACUGACCCCUUCCGUGCCGCAGCAAACGCAAUAAGUAAUCCACCUGGGGAGUACGACCGCAAGGUUGAAACUCAAAGGAAUUGACGGGGGCCCGCACAAGCAGUGGAGUAUGUGGAUUAAUUCGAAGCAACGCGAAGAACCUUACCAGGUCUUGACAUCGUAUGCAUAGCUCAGAGAUGAGUGAAAUCUCUUCGGAGACAUAUAGACAGGUGGUGCAUGGUUGUCGUCAGCUCGUGUCGUGAGAUGUUGGGUUAAGUCCCGCAACGAGCGCAACCCUUACUGUUAGUUGCUACGCAAGAGCACUCUAGCAGGACUGCCGUUGACAAAACGGAGGAAGGUGGGGAUGACGUCAAAUCAUCAUGCCCCUUAUGACCUGGGCCUCACACGUACUACAAUGGCUGUCAACAGAGGGAAGCAAAGCCGCGAGGUGGAGCGAACCCCUAAAAGCAGUCUUAGUUCGGAUUGUAGGCUGCAACCCGCCUACAUGAAGUCGGAAUUGCUAGUAAUCGCAGAUCAGCAUGCCGCGGUGAAUACGUUCCCGGGCCU
rnacentral:rRNA from 1 species